GCGCCGGCGUUCCGGAGGGUGGGGCGGGGGCAAGUGUCAGUCUGGCCGGGAGCGCGGCGGGGGACGCGGAGACCCGGCGGCUGACUCGCUCCGGCCCCUGCCGAGCCGUCCGCCCAAGAUGGAGUUCCUCCUGGGGAACCCGUUCAGCACCCCGGUGGGGCAGUGCCUCGAAAAGGCGACGGACGGCUCCCUGCAGAGCGAGGACUGGACCUUGAACAUGGAGAUCUGCGACAUCAUCAACGAGACGGAGGAGGGGCCCAAGGAUGCCAUCCGAGCACUAAAGAAGCGGCUCAAUGGGAACCGGAACUACCGGGAGGUGAUGCUGGCGCUGACCGUGCUGGAGACGUGCGUGAAGAACUGCGGCCACCGCUUCCACGUGCUGGUGGCCAACCGGGACUUCGUCGACAGCGUCCUGGUCAAGGUCAUCUCCCCCAAGAACAGCCCCCCCGCCAUCGUGCAGGACAAGGUGCUGGCUCUCAUCCAGGCCUGGGCAGAUGCCUUUCGGAGCAGCCCCGACCUCACGGGCGUGGUGCACACCUACGAGGAGCUGAAGCGGAAGGGGGUGGAGUUCCCCACGGCCGACCUGGACGCCCUGUCCCCCAUCCACACGCCGCAGCGGAGCGUCCCGGAGGUGGACCCAGCCGCCACCGUGCCGAGGCCCCAGGCACAGCCGAAGACGAGCAGCAGCCCCUACUCUGCGCCUCCUGCCUCCUACUCCGCGCCGCAGGCCCCGGCUCUGAGCGCCACGGGCCCCAUCACAGCCAAUUCAGAGCAGAUCGCCAGGCUGCGCAGCGAGCUGGCCGUCGUCCGAGGGAACACAAAGGUCUUGUCCGAGAUGCUGACGGAGAUGGUCCCCGGGCAGGAGGCCGCGUCCGACCUGGAGCUGCUGCAGGAGCUGCACAGGACCUGCCGCGCCAUGCAGCAGCGCGUCGUGGAGCUCGUUUCCCGCGUGUCCAACGAGGAGGUCACGGAGGAGCUGCUGCGCGUCAACGACGACCUCAACAACGUCUUCCUGCGAUACGAGAGGUUCGAACGAUACAGGUCGGGCCGCUCCGUUCAAAACGCCAGUAACGGGGUGCUGAGCGACGUGACGGAAGACAACCUCAUAGACCUGGGGCCCGGCUCGCCCGCCGUGGUGAGCCCGACCGUGGGCGGCGUGGCGCCCCCCUCCUCUCUCUCCUCCCAGCUGGCCGGCUUGGACCUGGGGACAGAGAGCGUCAGUGGAGCCCUGAGUUCACUCCAGCAGUGCGACCCCCGGGACAGCUUCGACAUGUUUGCCCAGACCAGGGGGAGCAACUCCGAGCCACGCAAGACGGCCACCUUGGAGGACCCCCCGGCCACGGGAGUACUUUCGUCUGCCCUGGACGGUCAGAAGCCCGGCUCCGAAGUGGUGGUGGUUCCGUGACCUAAACGGUGCUGACCUAGAAACGAAAACGGCCAAGAGAGAAGCUAAGGACACAGUGAAGGAGGGACGUCCUGUAGCCACAGCUCCCCAGUGCAACCACGUAGGCCGUCUUAGCCUCACAUGCAUCCACCUCUUAAAAAGACAAUAUCUCAGAGCUGCCGUCGUGGCUCAGCGGUUAGCGAACCCGACUAGCGUCCAUGAGGACUCGGGUUUGGUCCCUGGCCUUGCUCAGUGGGUUAAGGAUCUGGUGUUGCCACGGGCUGUGGUGUAGGUCGCAGACGCAGCUUGGAUCUGGCAUUGCUGUGGCUGUGGUGUGGGCCAGCGGCUACAGCUCCGAUUCGACCCCUAGGCUGGGAACCUCCAUAUGCCACGGGUGUGGCCCUAAAAAAGACAAAAGAAAAAAAGACAAUAUCCCCAAAGUCAGCAUUCACAUUAAGAGUUUGGGGCAAGAAAGAACAGGCAGGUAACUGAGGAGGAGGAGGAGCAGCAGAAAGUAGAACUGGGUUUUGUAAAAGCUAGUUCUUUGGAGCCCCGGUCGGAGCAGCAGACCUGCUCAGCUUCCUGGGACCUCACCGCGAUUUUCCAGGAGCGGGGGGGACCUUGGCUUGGGAGUGCGUUCCCGGUGGGAUUCCUUUUCCUAAACCCUUUCUUUUAUCCAGGAGGUAAGGGGCAUGCUGGGGGCGGGCACUGGGUCGCCUCUCCUCCCGCCCGCAAGGGACCAGCUCUGACGGUAGCUUUUCUGUCUCCGCCACACGUGUCGCGUCUCCGCACCUUCUGUACCGUGGGUCUGGCUGGGACUUUUCUUUCUGGGACUCCUCUGUCCUCGGCCCCGAAGAGAGGUAAAGCUGGGCCCUCUGACCUGGAGCCCAUAGACAGCUGGCUCAUAGCCCAAGGAAUGAUCCCGGUGGCGCAGCCCUCUGUCAUGGACGACAUUGAGGUGUGGCUCAGGACCGACCUGAAGGGUGACGACCUGGAGGAGGGCGUCACCAGCGAAGAGUUCGACAAAUUCCUGGAAGAAAGGGCCAAAGCCGCAGAAAUGGUUCCCAGCCUCCCCUCUCCCCCAGCGGAGGCCCCGGCCUCCAACCCUUCGGGCCGGAAGAAGCCAGAGCGGUCAGAGGAUGCGCUCUUCGCCCUGUGAGCUGCCCUGUGGUUGGGCUGCCAGGUGGCAGGUCACUGCUCGCUCCCCGUCCACACCAGGCACUGGCCACUCCUGCCAUCCCCAGCCCCUGCUUGGUCCUGUGCUGCUCUGUCUCCAUGGAAACACCACUGCAUUUGCUCCCAGGCCUCCCACUAGUCCCGACCAGCUGUAGCCACCUCCUCCGUGGGCGGUGGGACAGCCCCGCAUCCCCUGCCCUAGAAGAGCCUCCCUGGGGCUGAUCCUGAGCUGUUCCCCUGGUCACCUGCCCACACAGACGGCCCCUCUCCCGCACGCACAUCCCGAGCUCGGCCCGUGCCCAGCCCGUCUUCUCCCCUCGGUGCCCCGUCCCACUGCAUCCCCCGCCGAAGAGCAGGCUUACACCCUCGAGCUCCACCCCUCCCUGGACCGCUGCUCCCUGACGCGCGUCCGCACUUUAGAAGGCUCUGUGGUGCCCUGGGUGGGUGUCUCGUGCCGGACCCCUCUCCUCAUACUCAGCUGCAAGCCCAGGCCCAUGGCCGGGCCUGCCUGCUCUUGGUGUGGGGGGCGCCACACGGCCCUGCUGGUGGCCCCUGGCUGGCGGGCUCCUGCAGGGAUAACACUCCUGGAACCAGGCCACCCCGCGCACACACAGGCCAAGCACAGGGAGGGCUGGCUCUGGCCGCCGGGGAGAGCUCUGUGCAGUCCCGAACGUGCUUCGGCCUGGCCCAGGGCAGCCUCCGCGCUUCCACAUCCAGGGCCCAGCCACAGGCGGUUUGGCACCUCGGCCGAGAUCGCAGUGACUAAGCAGUCAGCGCGGAGCAGAGGCCCCCGCAGGCUCCUGGGCCUGGGCCUCAGCGCCUCAGCCUCCCCCACAGACUGUCCUGACAGCCUGACCUCCUCCCACCCCCACACCCUCCAAGCCAACCUAGGAGGGGCUAGUGCCACCUGCUCCCACCCUGGGUCCUCACUGGGGUCCCCGGCCUGGGCAGGGCACUUGCAGCUCGCUCAAGCCCAGUCCAGCCCGCUCCACCCGGUCCUGUGGCCCCAGAAGAGCAGAAACGCUGCAGCUGCUCCACAGCAGCCUGAGAGCACCGCGCCAACCAUGCUGCCCAGGCCUAGGGGUAAAGCUUGGCCGGGCCACCUCAUGUUCCUCAGGUGGUCAGCCCUUCCCGCCUGGCAGCCCGUGCAGGGAGCAGAGGCUGGGCCUGACUCCAGCUCAGGGGGGAGCAUCUAGGAUGGGGCGGGGGGGCUGUGUGGGCGCCAGAAGGUUGUGCAGAAACACUGCCCACCCCAGGACCGGCAUGCAGCCUGGCACCUCCCGGUUCCUUGGAGGGCGCCCAGGAUGCCCUGCGCGGAGCUCAGCCAGCCAGCCUCCAGUCCUGCCCCCUCCCACCCCACCCUUGGGCAGCAGCGCCUCCCUCCUCAGCGUUUCCAGGGCCGGGGCCCCAAGGACAGCUUGUUUGAUGCUGAGAUGUCUAAAGUCAGCUGACUUGACGUGAGCUGCAGAGAUGGGGCUAUGGUGCCGGCGACCCCAGCCCGCAUCCGGAAUCCCCCGCCCUCCGAUGCAGUCUGGUGGGGGGGGCUGGGGACACCCGCCUUGCCAGCCCACGGGCAGGCAGCUGGGCCUCGGGGUCAGUCCUGAGAGAGCUGCAGUGCCACAGCAGCCAGGCCCAGAGUCCACUGAGGGAGGAGCCGGCCUCCCACCCUGCAAAGGGCAAGACCCCACGGCCGGAGGGGCCGGGGGAGAGCAUCUCCCUGGGGAGGCCCCAGCAGAGCCGCCCCCCAGCGCCAGCUGGUCAGCCAGACCCGGCUUGGAGAGGCCUGGCUGCCGGGGCAGCAGGUGGUGGUGGAGCCGCUGGCCGCCCGUCUGGAGCUACGGCCUGGCCUACCUGGGCCCCUCUCGCUGGCUCCCUUCUGUCUGGGCAGCACGGCCCUCGGGCAGCCCUCCUAGCGGGGGAAGGUGGCCAGAGCCCUCUGCCCAGGACACCGGGACCCUCCAAGCCACUAACCUUCCACCAGUGUUAGAGAUCAGAGAUACAGUGUGUACUUAAUUACACUAAAUUAUUGCUGGGAUUCCCUAUAAGCACUAAUUAUACCUGAUUAUAGGUUAAAAUAUUUAUUUUGUCAAAAUAUUUUCUUGGGGAUGUGUUUAACCUUUUCUGUGUUCUUUGUGUGCUGAGCUGUGAAAACUAACCAUAUCCUGCCUGCCUUUGGGCCAGCGGACAGCAGCAAAUGGGAAUAAGUGCCAUCUGACUCGGGCACUGGUGGGCCUUUGGCCAACCUGCCCCGGAGUGGCCGCCCAGGACCCCCAGGCACCGCGCAGGCAGACACGUGCCUGGCUUAGCUGCGCGCACAGAACAAGGGUCAGCGGCUGCAGUGGCCCGUCGCUGGCCUGGGCCAGAGGGAAAGGUGGUCGUCUUGUCUGUCCCGUCUGUCCGUCAGCCCCUGGGUGUGCGUGACUGCUGUCUGUCCUGACCUCGCCUUGGCUCACUGCCUUCACAGCACCCAGGGGCCCAGCGGGGUGGGGGUGGCAAGGGCUGAGGCCCUGGGCAGCAGUGGGUGGAUUCCUGGGGCAUCCCGGGGCAGACGGCUGCUCGCGCCCACGCUCCCGCUCCUCCUAUUCCUUCCUGCUGCCACGGCUCCACUUUGCCCCCACACGCUUCUAACUCGGUCCAGGGGCCCUGGGCCAGCGAGGGAGAAGCACCCGCUGCCCGCACCAGCCUCUGCACCACGCACCCUCUGGACCCUGGGCCCCACCCCGUCCUCCACCGGGGCAGAUCCGCUUCACCCCGCGGGCUAGGUGUGUGCCCAGUGCCAGCCCUUCCUGCCCCUCGUGCCCCCAGAGCAGCUGUCAACCCCGGAGUCUCACUGCGUCACUCCAGGUGCUCCUGGAGGAAGGGGCGGAUAUUUAUCUCCUCGAGUUUGCACUUCAUGCGUGAGGGGCUCUCAGGUUUGGUGUCCGGCCAUCCCCCAGCCUGGCGUUCUGUCACUGUCGUGUGUCUCUGCCAGCAGUGGGUCUGGAGGGCGGUCAGCGGCAGCGCGUCCAUCCACCCACUGGCUCCCCUUCCAGAGGUCGUCUCUCUAGUUUGGGAUCUUGCAUGUAACAUACUCCCCAAUAAACAGACAAACACA